UGUGUAGGUGGCGCGCUAAGUCGGGUGUGAAAUUUCGGAGCUUAACUCCGAAACUGCAUUCGAUACUGGCGCGCUUGAGGACUGGAGAGGAGACUGGAAUUUACGGUGUAGCAGUGAAAUGCGUAGAUAUCGUAAGGAAGACCAGUGGCGAAGGCGGGUCUCUGGACAGUUCCUGACACUGAGGCACGAAGGCCAGGGGAGCAAACG
rnacentral:rRNA from 1 species